UCAGUUGUGCUCACUUUGGCAGUGCAUAAAUUGGAACAAUAACGGAGAAAAUUAGCAUGGCCCCUGCAUAAGGAUGACACACAAAUUCAUGAAGUGUUCCGUGUUUGU